rnacentral:rRNA from 2 species
UGAUCCAGAGUACCACGGGACACGUGAAACCCUGUGGGAAGCAGGAGGGACCACCCUCCAAGGCUAAAUACUACCUAGUGACCGAUAGCGUAUAGUACCGUGAGGGAAAGGUGAAAAGAACCCCGGGAGGGGAGUGAAAUAGAACCUGAAACCCUGCACUUACAAGCUGUGGAAGCACAUUUCUUGUGUGACCGCGUACUUUUUGUAGAACGGGCCAACGAGUUACGUUAAGUAGCAAGGUUAAGCACUUAAGGUGCGGAGCCGUAGCGAAAGCGAGUUUUAACUGAGCGUUCAGUUACUUGACGUAGACCCGAAACCGGGCGACCUACCCAUGAGCAGGAUGAAGCGAAAGUAAAAUUUCGUGGAGGUCCGAACCCACGAGCGUUGAAAAGCUCGGGGAUGACUUGUGGGUAGCGGUGAAAUUCCAAUCGAGCCCGGAGAUAGCUGGUUCUCCCCGAAAUAGCUUUAGGGCUAGCCUCAAGGUGAGAGAUACGGAGGUAGAGCACUGAAUGUCCUAGGGGGUAUUGCACCUACCGAAGACUAUCAAACUCCGAAUGCCGUCAUCUUAUACUUGGGAGUCAGACUGUGGGUGAUAAGAUUCAUAGUCGAAAGGGCAACAGCCCAGAUCGUCAGCUAAGGUCCCUAAAUGUAAGUUAAGUGGUAAAGGAUGUGGGAUUGCACAGACAACCAGGAUGUUGGCUUAGAAGCAGCCACUCAUUCAAAGAGUGCGUAAUAGCUCACUGGUCGAGUGAUCCUGCGCCGAAGAUUUCCGGGGCUAAAACUUACUACCGAAGCUACGGCAUCAGUAAUGAUGGGUAGGGGAGCUUCCCAUACGGGUUGAAGCAUGACCGUAAGGACAUGUGGACAGUAUGGGAGUGAGAAUGUUGGCAUGAGUAGCGAGAUGUGGGUGAGAAUCCCACAGGCCGUAAACCCAAGGUUUCCAGGGGAAGGUUCGUCCGCCCUGGGUUAGUCGGGACCUAAGCUGAGGCCGAAAGGCGUAGGUGAUGGACAACAGGUUGAUAUUCCUGUACUACCGAUAACCGUUUGAGAGAAGGGAUGACACAGUAGGAUAAGCUAAGCACACUGUUGGUUAUGUGUGCCCAAGCAUUGAGGCAGUCAAAGUAGGCAAAUCCGCUUUGAUAAUGCUGGGAUGUGAUGGGGAGCGAAAUUUAGUAGCGAAGUAGCUGAUUUCACACUGUCAAGAAAAGUCUCUAUCGAGGUUAAAGGUACCCGUACCGCAAACCGACACAGGUGGGUGAGGAGAGUAUCCUAAGGCCAGCGAGAGAACUGUUGUUAAGGAACUCGGCAAAAUGACCCCGUAACUUAGGGAUAAGGGGUGCCACCAUCAGGUGGCCGCAGAGAAUAGGCCCAAGCGACUGUUUACCAAAAACAUAGGUUUCUGCUAAGUCGCAAGACGAUGUAUAGGAGCUGACGCCUGCCCGGUGCUGGAAGGUUAAGGGGAUCUGUUAGAGCAAUCGAAGCAGUGAACUUAAGCCCCAGUAAACGGCGGCCGUAACUAUAACGGUCCUAAGGUAGCGAAAUUCCUUGUCGGGUAAGUUCCGACCCGCACGAAAGGCGUAACGAUUUGGGCACUGUCUCAACAACAGACUCGGUGAAAUUGUAAUUCCGGUGAAGAUGCCGGAUACCUGCGACAGGACGGAAAGACCCCAUGGAGCUUUACUGUAGCUUGACAUUGGGUCUUGGUACUACAUGUACAGGAUAGGUGGGAGGCUUUGAAACCAGGACGCCAGUUUUGGCGGAGCCAUCCUUGGGAUACCACCCUUGUAGUACUGGGACUCUAACCAUAGGCCAUGAAUCUGGUCUUGGGACACUGUCAGGUGGGCAGUUUGACUGGGGCGGUCGCCUCCCAAAAGGUAACGGAGGCGCUCAAAGGUUCUCUCAGUACGGUCGGAAAUCGUACGUAGAGUGUAAAGGCAAAAGAGAGCUUGAUUGCAAGACAUACAGGUCGAGCAAGGAUGAAAAUCGGACUUAGUGAUCCGGUGGUUCUGCGUGGAAGGGCCAUCGCUCAACGGAUAAAAGCUACCCUGGGGAUAACAGGCUUAUCUCCCCCAAGAGUCCACAUCGACGGGGAGGUUUGGCACCUCGAUGUCGGCUCAUCACAUCCUGGGGCUGUAGUAGGUCCCAAGGGUUGGGCUGUUCGCCCAUUAAAGUGGUACGCGAGCUGGGUUCAGAACGUCGUGAGACAGUUCGGUCCCUAUCCGUCGCAGGCGUAGGAAAUUUGAGAAGACCUGUCCUUAGUACGAGAGGACCGGGAUGGACGUACCUCUGGUGUACCAGUUGUCCUGCCAAGGGCAUGGCUGGGUAGCUAUGUACGGAAUGGAUAAGCGCUGAAAGCAUCUAAGCGCGAAGCCAACUUCAAGAUAAGAUUUCCCACCGCAAGGGUAAGACCCCAGAAAGACUAUCUGGUUGAUAGGUCGAAGGUGUAAGUGCAGCAAUGUAUUUAGCUUAUCGAUACUAAUAGGUCGAGGACUUGACCAA